AGGGUGUUAUCUCAGUGGUAGAGCAUUUGCUUGGCAUGCAUGAGUUCCUGGGUUCAAUCCCCAGCCUG
rnacentral:tRNA from 1 species